AGGGGAGCGUUCUGUAAGCCUGUGAAGGUGUGUCGUGAGGCAUGCUGGAGGUAUCAGAAGUGCGAAUGCUGACAUAAGUAACGAUAAAGCGGGUGAAAAGCCCGCUCGCCGGAAGACCAAGGGUUCCUGUCCAACGUUAAUCGGGGCAGGGUGAGUCGACCCCUAAGGCGAGGCCGAAAGGCGUAGUCGAUGGGAAACGGGUUAAUAUUCCCGUACUUGGUGUUACUGCGAAGGGGGGACGGAGAAGGCUAUGUUGGCCGGGCGACGGUUGUCCCGGUUUAAGCGUGUAGGUGUGUGUUCCAGGUAAAUCCGGUU
rnacentral:rRNA from 2 species